rnacentral:lncRNA from 1 species
CUCUCCCUGCCCCCCCAUCUGUCUGUCUCGGUCCGCCCCCCCACCACGCUCCUCCCUCCGUCUGCCUGGCUCCUUCCGCCCCUCCCUCGCUCGUUCCCCCUGCGCGGCUCGGAGCCCGGCUGGGCUCAGCUCUGGGCUAGGCGCUGCCCUUGCGCCCGCCGCCCCUGUGUCCGUCCGUACCCCCCCGUGUGUGUCUCCUCCUCUCCCCUCCCUCAGGCCCCAUUGUGCCUCUCUCUCCCCAUGGCCGUUGGGAGCUGACCGCCUCCACCCACGCUCCCCCCCGGGAGGGGGGCUGCGGAUGGGGGUCCUGCCCCCCUCGAUGCCGCCCCCCUCCGCAUGGCUCCGGUCCUCAACCCCGGCUUCUCCUAGCGGACCGGAGACACAAUGGUGGCCCGCAGCACGGACAGUCUGGACAGGACAGGGGAUGGGCCGCUCCGCCCUCUGGGGAACACAGCCGCCACUGUCAAGGGAAAAGCCCCCAAGAGGGCUCCUGGUGCUGAGAUGUUUUCACCUGCCGCUGUGCGGUGCAGGGAUGUAGCAGAGAAUGGCCCAUGCGGAUGCCUGGCUCUUGCUCAAUCAAAUGGGAUUAUUUAUAGUUGGAUACCACGACAUGUUGGGGUAAUCUGUGCUUUGAGGGGUACCAUGAGGGGAUCGGGGUAUCCAGUGC